CACAGCCACAGCCCUAAAGUAGCCAUUUUGUAGCUGAUUGUUGCUUGCUGCUUUCACCUUUCUUGUAGCUGAUAAUGUUCUUAACUCCUGUUACGCUGUCACCUGGUUUUAAAUUUUCAUACUGCGGAGGAGAUGGCACGUUCUUAAAAGGAAAGUUAAGGAAGAUCUGAGAUGUUCUUAAGAGUCUGAGAAGUUGUGCAGUGUUUUGGAUGGUUGUUAUCCUUCACUCCCAAUGCAGCUGCAUUUCAGUGGUCUCGUAUGCAGAGAAUUGUAAAACGCCUGUGGUAUCCUUCAGGAUAAACAGUGCUAUGCAAAAUGGGAGCUACAAUUAAAGGAGAAAACCCAUUUACCGAGAGCUGUUUUCACAGGCUCAAUCUUAGACUUGUAGCACCAGAUUUUUCAAACUAAGAUGCGUGCAUUUAUAGCUUUGAAAAUUAUCACCAUCAGAUGAGGUGCAGCUGAGGACACCACCAUCUUUCUCCUUAUAAUGUCAUCAUUCUCUGGAGUAAGAAAAUCACAUGGAGGUAUAGUGCUUUGGCUCACGGUCCUGAAGGGCUUUGCUCUGCAGAACUCUCAUGCCUGUAUUCCUCUUUAGGAGCACCCUAGCGAGAGGAUAACGCUCUUGAGCAAACUGGAAGAUGGCUGUUCCGCUAACAUUCUUUAUCUUCAUUUUCCCAAAUGUCGCUAAGCAGGUUUUGCAAAAUUAAUGGAGUAACAGCAAAGUUCCAUCAAAUUAGGCAGAAGGUUUUCUGCAGUACAGUGGUUUGAGCAAACUGACUCUGCCUUAGUCACAAUGUAAGAACUUGCUUAAACAAAAAUUUAUUGGAGUGUUUUUGUGCAGAUUUUAGUUCAUUAGAAUACUUUACUAUACAUGAUCAAUUUUGUCCUUACAUGUUAACAACUGUACAGAUCUAAAGGUCAGACUUGUAUAUUAUUUCACUCCCCAAAUACUGCUUUUUGUUUUCUGCAGCUUUAUUUAAAUAUUUUAAUCAUAACUCUUGUAGUUUUAUUUCUAAUGGAGCUUGAAUCUUUUGGGGAAAUAAAUAAUGAAACAAU